AUACGGAGGAUCCGAGCGUUAUCCGGAUUUAUUGGGUUUAAAGGGAGCGUAGGCGGGAGAUCAAGUCAGCUGUGAAAUGUAGAUGCUCAACAUCUGCACUGCAGUUGAAACUGGUUUUCUUGAGUGCGUAAGGGGCAGGCGGAAUUCGUCGUGUAGCGGUGAAAUGCUUAGAUAUGACGAAGAACUCCGAUCGCGAAGGUAGCCUGCCGGGCCGCGACUGACGCUGAAGCUCGAAGGUGCGGGUAUCGAACAGGAUUAGAUACCCUGGUAGUCCGCACAGUAAACGAUGGAUACUCGCUGUCGGCGAUAUACGGUCGGUGGCCAAGCGAAAGCGUUAAGUAUCCCACCUGGGGAGUACGCCGGCAACGGUGAAACUCAAAGGAAUUGACGGGG
rnacentral:rRNA from 1 species